GACGAACGCUGGCGGCGCGCCUAACACAUGCAAGUCGAACGAGCAAAGAGGAGCUUGCUUCUCUGAGCGAGUGGCGAACGGGUGAGUAACGCGUGAGGAACCUGCCUCAAAGAGGGGGACAACAGUUGGAAACGACUGCUAAUACCGCAUAAGCCCACGGGUCGGCAUCGACCAGAGGGAAAAGGAGCAAUCCGCUUUGAGAUGGCCUCGCGUCCGAUUAGCUAGUUGGUGAGGUAAUGGCCCACCAAGGCGACGAUCGGUAGCCGGACUGAGAGGUUGAACGGCCACAUUGGGACUGAGACACGGCCCAGACUCCUACGGGAGGCAGCAGUGGGGAAUAUUGCACAAUGGGGGAAACCCUGAUGCAGCGACGCCGCGUGGAGGAAGAAGGUCUUCGGAUUGUAAACUCCUGUUGUUGAGGAAGAUAAUGACGGUACUCAACAAGGAAGUGACGGCUAACUACGUGCCAGCAGCCGCGGUAAAACGUAGGUCACAAGCGUUGUCCGGAAUUACUGGGUGUAAAGGGAGCGCAGGCGGGAAGACAAGUUGGAAGUGAAAUCCAUGGGCUCAACCCAUGAACUGCUUUCAAAACUGUUUUUCUUGAGUAGUGCAGAGGUAGGCGGAAUUCCCGGUGUAGCGGUGGAAUGCGUAGAUAUCGGGAGGAACACCAGUGGCGAAGGCGGCCUACUGGGCACCAACUGACGCUGAGGCUCGAAAGUGUGGGUAGCAAACAGGGUUAGAUACCCUGGUAGUCCACACCGUAAACGAUGAUUACUAGGUGUUGGAGGAUUGACCCCUUCAGUGCCGCAGUUAACACAAUAAGUAAUCCACCUGGGGAGUACGACCGCAAGGUUGAAACUCAAAGGAAUUGACGGGGGCCCGCACAAGCAGUGGAGUAUGUGGUUUAAUUCGACGCAACGCGAAGAACCUUACCAAGUCUUGACAUCCUGCGACGGACAUAGAAAUAUGUCUUUCCUUCGGGACGCAGAGACAGGUGGUGCAUGGUUGUCGUCAGCUCGUGUCGUGAGAUGUUGGGUUAAGUCCCGCAACGAGCGCAACCCUUAUGGUCAGUUACUACGCAAGAGGACUCUGGCCAGACUGCCGUUGACAAAACGGAGGAAGGUGGGGAUGACGUCAAAUCAUCAUGCCCUUUAUGACUUGGGCUACACACGUACUACAAUGGCGUUAAACAAAGAGAAGCAAGACCGCGAGGUGGAGCAAAACUCAGAAACAACGUCCCAGUUCGGACUGCAGGCUGCAACUCGCCUGCACGAAGUCGGAAUUGCUAGUAAUCGUGGAUCAGCAUGCCACGGUGAAUACGUUCCCGGGCCU
rnacentral:rRNA from 1 species